UACGUAGGUGGCGAGCGUUGUCCGGAUUUAUUGGGUUUAAAGGGUGCGUAGGCGGCUUUGUAAGUCAGUGGUGAAAUACUCCAGCUUAACUGGAGGGGUGCCAUUGAUACUGCGGAGCUUGAGUACAGAUGAGGUAGGCGGAAUUGACGGUGUAGCGGUGAAAUGCAUAGAUAUCGUCAAGAACACCGAUAGCGAAGGCAGCUUACUGGGUUGUAACUGACGCUGAGGAGCGAAAGCAUGGGGAGCGAACAGG
rnacentral:rRNA from 1 species